rnacentral:rRNA from 1 species
GUACACGCUGUGACUAGCAUAUCAAUAAGCGGAGGAAAAGAAACUAACAAGGAUUCCCCUAGUAACGGCGAGUGAAGCGGGAAGUGCUCAAAUUUGAAAUCUUAAAGGGUUUCCCUUACGAAUUGUAGUUUAAAGAAGUGUUCUCUGUUGAGGUUUUGGUAAAAGUUCUUUGGAAUAGGACAUCAUAGAGGGUGAGAAUCCCGUAUUUGACCUUUACUUUCAACUUUGUGAUACACUUUCAAAGAGUCGGAUUGUUUGGGAAUGCAGUCCAAAAUGGGUGGUAAAUUUCGUCUAAAGCUAAAUAUUGGCGAGAGACCGAUAGCGAACAAGUACCGUGAGGGAAAGAUGAAAAGAACUUUGAAAAGAGAGUUAAACAGUACGUGAAAUUGUCAAAAGGGAAGCGUUUGACACCAGUGUUGUUUUUCUGAAAAUCAAUUAAAGAACUGUUUAUGCUAAGCUGUUUAGACUUUAUCAGCUAUCUGUUUAGUUUUGAGCUUUUCUUUAAUGCACUUUUCAGUUAACAAGUCAACAUCAAUUUCUUUUGCUGUAAAAAAGCUUGAGGAAGGUGGCUUGAGAUUCGUCUUAAGUGUUUAUAGCCUCUUGCCUAUGCAGUCGGAGAGAUUGAGGUCUGCAGCGUAGAUCCUUCGGGGCUAAAUGCAUUUGUGCUAAGUUAUAGCAUUUUAUAGACAACUUGUUGACUAUGAUUUGUCUUGUAGCUUACUCGCUUAUGUUAUUUUACCUACGCUUAGGAUGUUGAAGAUGUAGCACAUCAU